CAGGUCGAUCUGACUCCGGAGUCUGAACUCUGUGCCUUUCAUCGGUGGUUGGCUGACUGGAUACCAGGGAGCCUUGGGGUUCCGUAGCGACCCCAACCCCACUCAUCGUCUACACUGCUGGCAGAGUCAUCCCUUCUGAAGCAUGAAUGUGAGCCCCUUCUUCUCCUGCCUUCAACCCUUCUGUGAUGUCACUACCCUCAGGCUGCAGCCCUUCCCGCGGACUUUCAAUUUGGCCAGAAAAAGAAAAUGUGCGGUAAUGACAGAAUAUCCUGCCUGGAGAAUGCUGGGAGCCGAAUCACCACCGUGCUGGUAAUAAGUCCAAAUGAAAGAUAUUAUGUCACCUCGUUUGAAUUAAACAGAUGAACUACAGUCCUAGACCAUUAAAAAUGAACCAAUCUGCUGGAAUGCUUCCAAGCUCUCAGAAUUCAGUGCCCCUGAAAGGUGCUCGGCUCUAGCAGGGUUUUAUAUCCUCAUUUUCCGCCAAUAAUUC